GAAUUGUACACUUUUAUGUGAAUUUUAUAGAAUCGGAAGUCUAUCUUAACUUUCAAAAAUCAAAGAAGCAUCAAAAACAAACAAACAAACAAAAUAUGACCAGUAUUUUCUUCAUUACUUUUUUCCCUCAUCGGGCAGGGCUCUCACUCUUCUCUCUCUUCUCCUGUACAAUUUCUGUCUCUGAGCAUCUGUCCUAGAGGAAAAAGAAGAGACAUCAACUGAAGAAAAUGAAUCAGGAAAGACAGACGAAAUCUGUGGACAGACUAAAUCAUAGCAUCUCCCUUAGGAUCAGCGAUCUUGGCAAAGAUCCGCCCUGACUCCAAAGGAAGCUAUUCAAUCUCCCCGCCCAGCUCGGGAUCUCAAUCAGAAGAGCGCGGCAGCCUCACCGCCCAAGUCUGAGACUAAGAAACUGUUCAGAGUUGUAAGGGAUCCUAGAGAAAAUUACUCAGACAAAAAGAAGGCGAGGGUGUCAAGGGAGAGGAGGAAAGUGGCAGUUUGGGGGGUGCUGUCUCAAGAGCUGUGUCUCCUUUCUAGGUGUUCCAGACACUCGGGGCAGCAUGGAAGGAACUCAAGGUGAAGCUGGGAAAAGGAAACACAAAUAUGCAAAGGAGACUUUCAUUACAUCAACAGAAUGGUGUUGGAUGCUUGAGAUCCCAAGGGCUGCCAGAGCUCCCAGUACCAGAAAGCAAAACUCUUUUCCUCUUUUCCAAGGUGUGUCUCCUGCACCUUCUAUUCAAAAAAUUUCAAUGCCAACUGGCACAAGAAAAUAACUAUUUAAAAGGCCCAUGUCCCUUUUCAAAAAGCAGUCUAACGGGGGGAAUUGGGGGCUGAGAACUGUAUUAGGGGGAAAAAAACUUUUUCAUUGUGUGUGUCUUUACUACUCACACAGAACACUUUACUUCUGACAUUUCUGGCCACCAAAUCUGUGGCAGUAUCCCCCCACCAACUGCACUAGCUGAGUGUCCUAGAGUUGAAAACAAUUGUGACACUAGCUCUCUGGAGAUAGCAUCAGAUUGCACAGGUUACUAGGACUCAGUCCCUUAAGACUGCUCCCAUUUCAGAUACCAGUGGAAGUUAGUAGGUCCCCAUCGUUACACACAUACAUAAACAGAAGACAUAGUUCAGUAGAUUGUUGGAAACUAAAAGUCAAAUAAAUAUGCUACAUUUGUAAAUACACUCACAAAGAGACAUAGAACGCCUUUUAUAGAUUAACAAGUAGACUCUGUAGAGCUGAGAAAACAAGUGAUAAACUUGAAGGUAGGCCUAGAAAUUACCCAAGAUGAAACACCAAGAAAAAAACAGACAAAAAGAGCUCAG
rnacentral:lncRNA from 1 species